GACGGCGAACGGCGGGCGGCGGAGGAGGAGACGGCGGGUCGGGCAUUUUUAAAAUAUUUAAUCAUUCAUGAGUUGAGCUUCAUUCUUGAGUCAUGGAUGACAAGGCUUCUGUUGGAAAAAUCAGUGUCUCCUCAGACUCUGUGUCUACUCUUAAUAGUGAAGAUUUUGUCUUGGUUUCCAGGCAAGGAGAUGAGACACCAUCUACAAAUAAUGGAAGUGAUGAUGAGAAAACGGGACUCAAGAAUUUGGCCUUCUUAAGAAUGUAUGGAGUGGAAGUGAGGACAUAGAAAUAAUAUCCUUUCUUUUUUUAAUGCUAAGACUUUUAUUUAUUAUUAAUAAGUGUGACACAUUUAUAUCUGAUUAAGGAUUUUCAAUUUGAUUAGUUUCUAAAUCUUCUAAUUCCCUAACUGUAAAAACCAGUGAUCAUGGCAUAAAUAUUUGUUAUUUUAGUAUUGUUUUCAAUUUUCCAUUGAGUUAGAGGUGGUUGAUUGUUUUGGGCCUGGUGUAUGUAGUGUAAAGACAGUGGCAGGUCAGCAAUGCUUUUUAGACGAAUAGGUUUUAGAAUUAUUAAAACAGAACUUAAAAUUCCUGGCUUUUGACUACUUCUAUUUGUUUAUAUUUUCUCAGUAAAAUAGAUGGCUGUUACUUCUUUCCCCAUACUCUGUUACUGUUCUGCUCUUUAUGGAUAUAAAUUAAAAACAUUAUCUGUUAAUGUCACUUAAAAUGUAAGUGGCUUUAAAAAUAUUUUGAUUCUUGUUUAUAUAUAUUUUUUCAACAAGUGUUUAUUGAGUAUUAACUUUGUGCCAAGUACUGUUCUAAAUACUGGAGGGAGAUACAGUAGUGAAUAAGACAGGCAAGCCCCUCUGCCCUCCUAGAGCUUUUAAUGUUUUGGGGGAAACAGACUCUUAGGCAAAUGAGAAAAUGAGUAUAUUAAGUAAAUUUAGAUGCUUUGAAGAAAAAAGAGUGAAUGGCAAAUACUGCUGUAGAGAAUGUCUUGAAGUGACAUUUUAGCAGAGAUCUGAAUGAAAUCAGGAGGAACUUGUCCAUGGAGAAAUCUGAAGAGAGAGCUUUCCACAGAGAAUAGAAAAUAAAAAAACUGAGGGGGACCACCCUUUUUAGGAUAGAAAUGAGAGCAGAGUGAGUGAAGUAAAUGACAAGUGGUAUAAAGUAUGAGAUCCAGUGAUGAGUAAAAACUGGAUGAUGUAGAAUUUUGUAGUGCUUAGUAGGAAUUUGGACUUCAUUAUAAAAAUGAAGAGGAUUUUUGGAGAGUUUUGAAUGAGAUCAUAAUCCGAUUUACAUUUUUAAAUGUUCUGGCUGAGAGAGACUUCCACCAUGGAUGAUGUGAACUUUGUGAACCAACUUCCCAGCAAAAUUGGUAACAACUUUUUAAAAAUGAAAUCUUUGGCAAAAGGACAGAUAGCAAUUGAAGAAACAUGUAUUCUAAGAAAUGUACUAAAAUCUGGUAAAGACUCUGUCAUAUUUGGUCUAAGACUUGGUUUUCCCCUCCCCUCUCCCAGCUGAGCAAGAUGGUAACUCCACUCCAGGUUGGUACAGUCAAGAAGGUAGGACUGUCUGCUACCCUGUCCCCAGGACUCCCACUUGGAGGGCUGUCUUCCAGAAAAGAGCAUGAUGAGAGCAUUUCUCAUCCUGCUUCUCUCCAUCUGCUUUUUGCUGGCCAAGUGUGACUGAGUGGUAGGGGCUCCCCGCCCCCCUUUUUUUUCCCCCAGCCCUUCUGUGAUGAAGGCUCUGCUUUGGGCACAGCGCUGCUGAGAAUACUGAGAGCCUGACUGUCCUUACUGUGGCUUUGGCACGUAGGGUAGUGCUUCCACAUUCGUGGAGGCAAGCCAAGAAUACCAGAAAUGACUAUACUACCUGCCAUGCCCACCAAAUACACAUCUUCAAAGAUGGGUCGUCACUCAGAAGUAAUGGCAUUGUCCACACUCCCAGCCUCAUAGCUAUAGCUCAGAUUUUGCCUGCAGUGAGAAGUGUGCCAUAAAAAAGCUACUAAUCUCUUCCCAGAGUUACAGACUUUAUUUACCAUGGACCGUAGAGAAGUUCAAGGCUAAGGGUACUCUCAAAGACAGCAGAGGUUGUGCUGAAAGGUAAUUGGGAAGAGAUUGGUGGAUUGAACAUAGAGGUUUAACUGUAGGCUUGCUGGGAGGAGACCACUUAUGGUUGGAACAAUUUCAGAUGUUGACCUCUAGAGUGCUCUCUUCCAAGUAGCUUCAGUUUGAUUGGUUUUAGAUAGAGUGACAGCUUCAGUUUGAUUGGUUUUAGAUGGAGUGACAAAGAAAUGGGCCUUUGUGGUGGUGUACCACAAAGCUGGGAAAGUUGAGUGCUCAAUCACGCACUCUGACUUUCCCUCAUGGGAGAAAUCAUGGCUGAGUAAGUAUCUGCUGGCACCUUGGGGGCAGGGUGACACAGAUGAAACUGUUCCUUUCAUGUCUUCAUUGAGUCCAAUCUUGGAUAGUUUUGUUCCACCAAUUUGCUGGAACUUCUCUGCUCCUGCACUUCCUGAAGGCACUCUCAUCCAUUAGUGUCUAAACUGGUCUUCUUUGAGAGUAGGAUGGUAGAAAACUCCUGUACUGCCAUUUUGAUGAUAAUUCUUUCCAUUAAUUCUUUCUCUUGCCAGUUGAAGUUUGUUGUUGAGCCCCUCUAGUGAAUUUCUCAUUUCAAUUAUUGUGCUUUUCCACUUCAGAAUUUCCAUUUGGUCCUUUUUUUUUUUUUUUUGUAAUUUCUAUCUCCCUAAUGAUACUUUCUAUUUGAUGUGACACUGUUAUCAUACUUUAUUUCUUUACACAUGAUUUCUUUUAGUUCACUGAACAUGUUAAUAAUGGCUACUUGCAAAGUUUUCAUAUUAAAUCCAACAUGUCAGUCUCACAAGCAGUAUGUGUUCCCAUUUUAAAAAAGGAUGUAUGGGUAAUAUUUUCUUAUUUCUUAGCAUGUCUCACAAUUUUGUGUUGGAAAUAUGAUAUUUCAGGUAAUAGGUUGUUCCAGUUCUCAGUACUGGUCUCCCCACUCUGGGACUUUUUUAUGCUUGCUUGUUGGUUUAGUUCACUUAUUUUAGUAAAUUCUACUUCCCUAAUUCCCAUGGUGUUAACCUCCGAUGUUGCUCCUCUGGAGUGAUUUGAAUUUGCCACAGUUAUCCUGGGAUAGGAGUAGUUUUCUCAGGAUAUUCUCUAUGACCACAAAAGUUCACUAGAUUCAGUUAACAGAUACAGGUGCUAAUGUAGGACUUUCUAAAAGAAAAGUGGUAUAAUGCAAACAUUUGGAAAGUGGGGGAUACCUGUAAUUCCCAAAUGAAAGCUGAAAGAAUUGAUCAUCACUAGAUCUUAAGCAAAAUGCUGAAAAGAGUUCUUCAAUCAGAAAUGAAAGAACACUAAUUAGUAACAUGGAAACAUGAAAAAAUAAAACACACUCAAAAAGGUAAGUAUAUGGUCAAAAUCAGUAUAAUACUGUAAUACUGUAAUAUUAGAUGUGUUAUAAUGUGUUAUACAUUACAUAAAAAGGGGUGACAUCAAAAACAAAAUGUUUGGGAAGGUAAAAGGUAGUGUUUUGUGUGUGAUUGAAGUUAGGUUGUUACCAGUGUAAAAUACACCCUUAGAUCUCUGAGGUGUUUUAUGUAAACCUCAUGGUAACCACAAAGUGGGAACUUAGACUAGAUACAUAAAAGAUAAAAAGAGAAUCAAAGUUUACCACUAUAGAAAAUCAUCAGCUCUUAAGGGAAGGCAGUAAGAUGGAAGAAAGGAACAAAGGAACUAUAAAACAACCAGAAAACAACUAGUAACAUAAAUUUUUAUCUAAUCAAUAAUUAUUUUAAAUGCAAAUGAAUUAAAUUUUCCAGUUGAUGUCAUAGUGUCAGAAUGUAUUUAAAAAUAGAGGAACUCUGUAUGCUGCAUAUAAGAGACGCAUUUCAGUUUUAAGGACACAAACUCAUCCAUGUGUCAUUGUGAAAAGGUGAAAAGCUGUUCCAUGCAAAGGGAAACCAAAAGAGACCAUUUCAAAACAAGCAUGUAAAUCUUUGUCUUAGCAGAAAGCAAGGCACAAAAGAACCAGAAGAUACUGGGAAGUAUAGUAAAUAAUCUCAGGCCCACUUAGAUAUUCUGUGAUUCUUGAUAAAUGGAAAUGGUAUCUAAACUUGUAUCAGACAGAAAUAGACUUGAAGUCAAAACAUUUAAGAAGAAGAGACAAAGGUCAUUAUAUAAUCAUAAAUGGGUCAGUAGAUCAAGAGGAUAUAACAGUUGUAAAUACAAUUGCAUGUAAUAUUGGAAUACCUAGAUAUGUAAGCAAAAACCGAAAGAUCUUAAAGGAAAAGUAGACAACAAUACAAUAAAAGGGGAUUUAGGAAUUCCCAUUGUGGCUCAGCGGGUUAGGAGCCUGAUGUUGUCUUUGAGGAUGCAGAUUCAAUCCCUGGCUUCACUCGGUGGGUUAAAAAUCAGGCAUUGCUGCAAGCUGUGAUGUAGAUGGCAGAUGUGGCUUGAAUCUGGUGUUGCUACGGCUAUGGCAUAGGCCACAGCUGCACCUCCAAUUUAACCCCUGGCCCUGGAACUUCCAUGUGCUGCAGAUGCAGCCUUAAAAAGGAAGAAAAUAAUAAAUUAAAAAAAAUAAUAGGGGAGGGAGUUCCCGUCGUGGUGCAGCGGUUAACGAAUCCGACUAGGAACCAUGAGGUUGUGGGUUCAGUCCCUGCCCUUGCUCAGUGGGUUGACGAUCUGGCGUUGCCGUGAGCUGUGGUGUGGGUCACAGACGCGGCUUGGAUCCCGUGUUGCUGUGGCUCUGGCGUAGGCCGGUGGCUGCAGCUCCGAUUCGACCCCUAGCCUGGGAACCU
rnacentral:lncRNA from 1 species